CCCACCAAAAUGACUAAUAUCAGCAGCGUGCUGGUAUAGUGAUAUGCAUGCUUAAAUUAUGUUUUCAACUGUUCUUAAUUUUGUAUUUCUUCAGUAAGAAAGUUAAUUCUUUUUCUUUUCUUUGCCUCAUGCUCUGAGGUCAUGCAUGAAUUUGUAAGAGCUGUUGACAGAUAAAUCUGAGAAAAGAGAAUAAUGAUAUGCGAAAAACAGAGAAUAUUCGAACUGUAUAUUAUUAAACUAUCUGGGAAGGAAUGUAAAUAUUAUUAAUCAUGCUACCUUUGUAUGUGGAUUAAUCAUAGGUUUUGUUAAAAUUUUAUGAAGAAAGUGGUAUUUUAUUGUGUUGUAUUACUAAGCAUAUUCUUGCUUUGAACGUUUUAGGCAACAGCUGUUUACAAGGUUUCAUCCAUUGCUGAGCAAAGUGGUGUGCCUGUCAUUGCUGAUGGAGGAAUUGCAAAUUCUGGACAUAUUGUCAAGGCUUUGGUGCUGGGGGCCCCUACUGUUAUGAUGGGGAGUUUCUUAGGUGGCAGCAACGAGGCUCCUGGGGUUUACGAAUAUCAGGGUGGCCGUCUAAAAAGUACAGAGGCAUGGGUUCCCUUGAAGCCAUGACAAAGGGAAGUGAUGCCCGGUACCUGGGGGAUAAGUCUAAGCUAAAGGUGGCUCAGGGAGUUCUGUAUUGAAGUUUAUUCCUUACACGAUGCAAGCAGGCAAGCAAGGAUUUCAGGAUCUUGGUGCAUCCUCUGUGCAGUCUGCUCACAACCUUCUGAAGUCUAGGGUGUUCUGUAUGUUUGAGGAGCAUUUGUUGUUUUUGUACAUUUUUUUGGAGGUUACGAUUUCUGAGCAUAAUAUAAUCUUACUGCCAUGAAAAUGUUCUUUUAUAUCUGCAUCAUAUCCCAGUGAAAUAUUUUCUUCAUAGAGGAAUGAGGAAGAGGUUUUCAGUCUCAACAGAAGUAAUAAUAUGUAUUAAGGAGCCAUAUUUAAUAUGUGUAGACUCUGCUUUCUGAAGCACACUCGCCAUGUCUGAUCAAGCCAUAACUUCCAAAACCAUUAUUGGAUUGAUCAGAUUUUUUUAUUGUUGAAAAGCUAACUUACAGAUCUACCUUUCUCAUGAGCUUCCACAAGUUCCCAGUGAAGGACCUCUCAAAACACACUUGAAGUCACUGCCUCAACACAAACCUUGCAGUCCUCUGCUUGAGCUAAUAAUUUUCAUCUACCUCUUAAAACCUCACUUUUGAGCCUUAUAUUUCAGCCAUUACAGCAACAAAUCCCAAAAACUAAAACCCAACCCAAAUCUAUACUAAAACCUGACCCAUAUUUAAACAGAGCCUUAAAUUGAGCCUGCAUUUGCUUCUCUUAGUGGGAGUGAUGCUGGCAGAUUUACAAACCUGAGAGAUUUCACUGUUCAAAUAUCCCAAAUAUGAAAUCACUUCCAAGUUCUGUUACCGGAUUAGUUUCAGAACUAGAUCCAAAGAAUGUAGAAAAUUCAGAAUUCAAAAAGCUAGAAUCAAACCAAAAAUGUAUUAUCUGCUUGAAUUUUUUCUUUUUUUUAGUGAAUGCUUAAUUCAUAAGAGUUCAGCAGGUUCUGGAUUUAUAUAUUUGUUUGUUGUUCCUUGGUAGCAGAUUUGUAUUGUGCAAUAACCUUUUCUGUGUUUUGCAGGUGAGGACAGGAGCAGCUUAGGUUGAAGGUGGGGUUCAUGAUUUGGUAUACCAUGCCAAAAAAGCGUUCUGAAACCUGAAAUCUCAAGCCUGUUAAUUCUGGGUAAUCAACCCUUGUAUGCUUUCUAAUUAUAAUCAAUAUUUAGAGAAGCAACAUCAGAUGCAAUCCACAAUCAAAAUGACUAGUAUCAGAUGCAGUCUAAUCCUAUGGCGAUCGGCAAAGUUGGCUUUCAUUACUGAGUUAAUGUUUUGUGUUUAGGCCAGGAUUUUUCUUACUAGUCUACACAUGUUAAAAUUUUGCCCGUGAUGGCUUAACUUUUCUUCCAUUAUUGAGAUAUUUACCUCUUUUAAUAUGCUCCUUGUACCAUAUGCCGGUAGAUGAUUAUAAUUUUGAAAUCUUUUGGAGGAAUUUUAUAUUAUUGUUAGCAUGGUCA